rnacentral:miRNA from 1 species
GUCCUCCUGGUCGGCAAGGUUGUACAGCCUCGCCGACCAGGAGGGAGUCCUCCUGGUCGGCAAGGUUGUACAGCCUUGCCGACCAGGAGGGC